CUGCGAGCCGCCGCGGUAAUACGGAGGGUGCUAACGUUGCUCGGACUUACUGGGCGUAAAGGGAGCGUAGGCUGUCUAUCAAGUCAGAUGUGAAAUCCCCGGGCUCAACCCUGGAAUUGCAUUUGAUACUGAUAGGCUAGAGUGCAUUAGAGGAGAGUAGAAUUCCUGGUGUAGCAGUGAAAUGCGUUGAGAUCAGGAGGAAUACCAGUGGCGAAGGCGACUCUCUGGGAUGCAACUGACGCUGAGGCUCGAAAGCGUGGGGAUCAAACAGGAUUAGAAACCCUUGUAGUCC
rnacentral:rRNA from 1 species